CCUCUGGAAUGUGAUCAAGAGGAAGAUGGUCACAAGCCAUCAAACAACGCUGAGCUGCUUGGAUUUUUGCUCCAGGUGAGAGUAGAAAAAAA